AGCAGCGCGGCCAGUCGCCGAGCGUCGCGUGGUAGACACGCGUUCAUGCAGGAAGCCACGUUGGCGAUCCACGAACCAACAGAUCCAACGGCCCAGAUCUCCUCUCGCGCACAUGGACGGCCUAGAUCUGUUUUCUCUUCAAGGGCGAUUGAACAACCAAAAUUAAUCCGAUCGUGCGACCCAAAUUAAUUCUCCAAAUAAGAGCGAUCCAACGGCUGAGAGUGGGCCACGUGUCCUUGCACAAAUGGCCCAGAUCGAGGCGGAGAGGAUAUUUAAACGUCGCUUCUCAGAAAACCCUAACCCCAAUCGUAUCUAACCCCACCAGAUAAGAAGAAGAAGGGCGGCCGGAAGGAAAGCCGAUUACUAUUGUCACUGCACCAGAGCUGCGGCCGACACCGGGGAGGUAAGUUUUUUCUCAUUUUCACUUCAGAAUUUGAUUUUAAGUCUCCUCACACCCACAUCGGCACUAAAAAUCCAAAAGUGAAGUCAGAAACUGAGAGUGGAGCUCGACCGAGCCGCUGCGGCCGCAAUCCAAAAAUUGCUCCGAUGAGCCCGAUCCUACUUCCCGUUUCCUUCAAUCUUUCGACCCUUGAAUUCCUAACAUAUUUUUGGUGCAGG
rnacentral:lncRNA from 1 species